AUUGAACGCUGGCGGCAUGCUUUACACAUGCAAGUCGAACGGCAGCGCGGGGCAACCUGGCGGCGAGUGGCGGACGGGGGCGUAAUACAUCGGAACGUACCCAGAAGUGGGGGAUAACGUAGCGAAAGUUACGCUAAUACCGCAUACGUUCUACGGAAGAAAGUGGGGGACCUUCGGGCCUCAUGCUUUUGGAGCGGCCGAUGUCUGAUUAGCUAGUUGGUGAGGUAAAGGCUCACCAAGGCGACGAUCAGUAGCUGGUCUGAGAGGACGACCAGCCACACUGGGACUGAGACACGGCCCAGACUCCUACGGGAGGCAGCAGUGGGGAAUCUUGGACAAUGGGCGCAAGCCUGAUCCAGCAAUGCCGCGUGAGUGAAGAAGGCCUUCGGGUUGUAAAGCUCUUUUGUCAGGGAAGAAACGGCUGAGGAUAAUACCUUCGGCUAAUGACGGUACCUGAAGAAUAAGCACCGGCUAACUACGUG
rnacentral:rRNA from 1 species